AUGACUGAAGGCGGAGAGAGGCUGGUCUAUAAAACUGGACGGACUCAGACAGACAGAACAAACCCUGAAGCUUCGGCAUCGAACUGCAAACAACCUGAAGGUUUGGUUUUCUUUCCUGCAGGAAACUUCACAGUAAAAAUGGCAAGUGGAGCUAAAAACGAUGGACCAACAGUCAAAACUGAGGAGAAAGCGAAGGCUGGGACUGUGAGGUUUCAUGUGCUGACAGCCGGAGGGAGUGGCAUACAUUUUAUCAUGAAACCCAGCUCUCUAAAUAAAUUACUUUCAAAAAUAACUGUUGAAGCACAAAGAGGUCAAACGGUGGAAAAAGCUCUGAGAGAAGAAGAUAAAUUUAAAGAUAAAGUGUUUGAAAAGGAGACUGUUCUCUUUGACACUGACCAAAAGAAAAUCAUCCUGCUGUCUGAUCCUGUUGAUGAUCUUGAUGGUCAAACUCACAGGAUCAUUCGGCUCAGAGACAUAGCGGACAUUCGGCCUUUUGCUGAGGACGACAAUUUGACUCAAUGGUUGGCCAACCUGAAUCUGAGUGAAGGUCAGUAGGACGUGAAGUCCAGAGCCCAAAAACAAAACCCAAUCUGAUCAUCAGGGUGUAGUUGGAUGAUUUAAAGAGACAGUCUUUGAUUAAUGUUGUUUGAAAAUGAAAAUCUAAUCUAGAUGUAAUGAUGGAUUAUUAAUCAACCACCAGAACACGAUGAGCGAAGUGAAGAACCCUCAAAGUUUAAAGACAAAUGAAAUGAGACUUUAUCUUUGAGAGAAUCAACAACAGCUGACUUUAUUCUUCUUUGUGUUAGAAAUGAUUUUUGAAUGGAUCUUUAUUCGAAAUGAAAAAUGCUGAUUGUCUGAUGAUCAAUAAUGUUUUUUCUCAUGUUUGUAUUCUGUGAAUGAAAAUCUAAUAAAAGAAUCUGUCUCUUGGCCGGAUGUUGAUUUCUGAUCCUGUAACAGCUGACAGUCGAGGGGGAAACACACCGGUUUCUGAGUUGUGCGCUACACAAACACAACUCCAGUGUGUUCUUCAUUUAAACAGAUUGUUUAGAGACAGGAAAGAGGAAGAAACAGAAGUGAAACAACUUCAGAGUAGGAAACAGAAACAUGAAUGAAUGAAUGAACCUGUUGGAGUUUAAACAUCCCAUAAAAAGCAGGACGACCUCAGAUCAGAGCAGCAGGCCUCCACCAGGCUCCGCUAACUUUACCGCCAAAACUAAACUAUGAAAAACUCUUCAGCUUCAUCAGCCAACUUCAGUUUUUCACCGAAACGUUCAAAUUAAAGUUCUUAUGACAUCAUCAGUCUUGAGUCACAUGACCUUCCUUCAGUUUAACUUUCGCCCUCGUCUUCCUCUG
ensembl:lncRNA